rnacentral:rRNA from 1 species
UACGUAGGGUGCAAGCGUUGUCCGGAAUUAUUGGGCGUAAAGAGCUCGUAGGCGGUUCGUCACGUCGGCUGUGAAAUCCCGAGGCUCAACCUCGGGUCUGCAGUCGAUACGGGCGGACUGGAGUACUGCAGGGGAGACUGGAAUUCCUGGUGUAGCGGUGAAAUGCGCAGAUAUCAGGAGGAACACCGGUGGCGAAGGCGGGUCUCUGGGCAGUAACUGACGCUGGAGGAGCGAAAGCGUGGGGAGCGCACAGG